UGAAAAGGACUUUGAAAA
rnacentral:snRNA from 1 species